UGUGCCUGAUGAAAGUAAGCUCUUCAACUCCAGUAAUGUCAAUGUCCCGGGACGCUGGGUGUUUCGUGUUGACGGUGGACCUGAGGAGGGAGUAUUCUACCCAUAUGGAGAUGAAGAGGAUGAGAUGUGUCCUCAGUCAGAUGAUGGAAGUUCUCCACCGAUUCCUCUUCUGCAGCCGUUUGUGUACUUUGGCCGAGUAUAUGACAAAAUAUUUGUGAAUAAUAAUGGAGACCUGACUUUUGAUGAGCCUUUUUCCCAGUAUCAACCCUAUUAUUUUCCUAAAUACUCGACUAAAGACAUUAUCGCUCCACUAUGGACAGACAUUAAUAAUAAUGAGAAAGGAACCAUCUCUUA